GCUUUAAUAGUUUCCAAACCACACCCAGGGUCCCGUCCGCUCGCCCAGAGUCAAGCUGCGAAGCGCCGGAUUAGUAGUUGGGUUGGUGACGACCAGCAAAUCCCCAGUGUCGUAUGUU
rnacentral:rRNA from 1 species